rnacentral:rRNA from 1 species
GACGAACGCUGGCGGCGUGCUUAACACAUGCAAGUCGAACGGAAAGGCCCUGCUUUUGUGGGGUGCUCGAGUGGCGAACGGGUGAGUAACACGUGAGUAACCUGCCCUUUACUUUGGGAUAACUUCAGGAAACUGGGGCUAAUACCGGAUAGGAGCUCCUGCUGCAUGGUGGGGGUUGGAAAGUUUCGGCGGUUGGGGAUGGACUCGCGGCUUAUCAGCUUGUUGGUGGGGUAGUGGCUUACCAAGGCUUUGACGGGUAGCCGGCCUGAGAGGGUGACCGGCCACAUUGGGAUUGAGAUACGGCCCAGACUCCUACGGGAGGCAGCAGUGGGGAAUAUUGCACAAUGGGCGGAAGCCUGAUGCAGCAACGCCGCGUGCGGGAUGACGGCCUUCGGGUUGUAAACCGCUUUCGCCUGUGACGAAGCGUGAGUGACGGUAAUGGGUAAAGAAGCACCGGCUAACUACGUG